UGCUGCUGCUAUGUAAGAACUGCCUUUCACCUCCUGUGAUGAUUCUGAGGCGUCUCCAGCCAUGUGGAACUAGAAAGCCUGCCUGGUAGAAGAGAAAGGAGCCAAGCAAAACCAAAAAACGGAUAUGAGAUGAAAAGGAAAGAGAGUAGAGUCCUGGUGACAUCAAGUCCUGGCUCUCUUUGGUCCGUAAUGCCCUCAUUCCUUUAGCUCCUCCUUCAAGCAGAGUAAAGAACAGAGGGUAACAAGCUGUGGGAUACACUUCUACAGUUUUACAUUGGUGAUCAGGGAAGGCUUUUCUACUAAGGUUAAAUAUGAUCUGAGAUCUGAAUAAAGUAAGGGAGUGAGUCCUGUAGAUACACAGGGGAAGAGAAUUCCAGGCAGAGGGAAUAGAAGGUGCAAAGGCUCUGAGAUGGGAGGGAGCUUGGUAUGUUCAAGGAAUUGCAAGUGCACCAAUUGUGUCUGGAGCUGAGUGAGAAAAUAAUAACUUAUCCUAGAACUUCUCUCUGGGGUGUCUCAGCUAUGGAGUUUCUCUCUGCCUGGACUAGAGUUGAUGUUGGGACCUGAACUGCAGCCCCACAGGCUUUGGUGCCUGUAGCUGCCGGGGGCUAGAAAGGUCAGAGACUAGCACUGAGGUUUUUUU
rnacentral:lncRNA from 1 species